rnacentral:ncRNA from 2 species
CGGUCCAUCGAUCGCGUCGGUGCCCCUUUUGGGGCUUAAAUGGGAACGCGGUGCGGGAGCUUGCUCCCUAAUCCGUGGCUGUCCCUGCAACUGUGAGCGGCGAGCGAGACAUGGACGAUCGUCUACCGGGCGAUCAGCCACUGGAGCAAUCCGGGAAGGCCCAUGCUUCACGCAUUGACCCGCAAGCCAGGAGACCUGCCGCCGCAAAGGUCGCUCU